rnacentral:lncRNA from 1 species
CUGAGGAGGAAAUGAGCAUGGGCAUAACAGCGUUUACAAGGUGGGAAGGUCUCUCCGGAAAGUUUUAAGACGUUCUACAAAUACUCCCAAUAUGCAGCUCAAAUAAACAAAGCAUGCUCAUUCCCAAAACGAACAGCAAAUGCAACAGUCUCUUCUACUGACAUUAUCACAAUCACACUGAAAAGUCUGCUCCACCCGAAGGUUAUUGCUGAGGAUGUUACAGAGGAAACGCAGAAGGAAGGUGAAAGAGAGGGAUUACGGUUCUAUUGUUAGCUAGUAGCAUUUUCCAGGUACCAUUAAAAAUAAUUUAUCUAUCAUUUUUUGUUCCCAGCAAUUGCCAGAUGAGAUGAACAUCUCAUCUUUAUGAGGGGCUCGCUAGGAGUGCUGCCUUACAAUCUUGCCCAAGGCUGUUUCAAUGCCACAUAAAGAACGGCGUAAUGCAAGGUAUUCAAUCCAGAAUCACAAGUAAUGAGUACUUUAUAAAUCCAGUUCAUUUUACAGUCAAAAGGUUUAAUGGAAGAAAUUAAGUUUCUUAAAAACCAGACAAUAGCCUAGCAGUUUGGCUGAGCAGGAAGAAUCAUGGGAAACACCAUUACAGCUCUCUAAUUAGGGAACUGGCUCCACUAGGUCUGCAGGCUGCUGUAAAAUGUAUUUCCUAUGAUGUCCAAGAAGUGGUGCAAUAUCGAUGCUGCUGUACAUAUCAGAAAGCCCAGUAGACAGAGGUGAAAUGCUACCAAAUCAGGCUUUCAAAAUUCUAGACUUUCAGGCCUUUAAAUUCAGGGUUUUUUUAUAGGCUUUUGAAUCUGGAGACCUAUUUGUUUAUCUCAUUGUUUUUGAGUUUUAUUGGAGCUGCCAGAUCAAAUUUAUGAGUUCCCCUUCACCCACAUGCAUAUACACAUUUAUACGUAAAGCUAACUGAGAUUUUUUUUCACUUGAUCAACAUAAGUCCAUGUCUUGAAGCUUUGAGAAAAAAACUUGAUAUCCUAAUAAUUGUCUACCUCAAGUAGUUUCUGACACUUUUGCCUCUAAGACUUCUCUGUAGGGCAAGAAGACAUUAUGCUCUUACAACAUGCCUACCACAGAGCAACAUUUUCAAAACUAUUUGGAUCCAUACAUCCAGUGCAUUUCAUUUUCCAGGCCCCUAAAAUUCCUCAGACACUUUUGUAUUUCUAGCACUUGAUGCAGUGAUUAUGGAAGAAAGCCAAAGAUCCCUCAAACCAGCAAUUUAAAAUAGAAAGUAUUUUGUUUAGGAAUUCUAUGUAAAACAUUAUGU